UACGUAGGGUGCGAGCGUUGUCCGGAAUUACUGGGCGUAAAGAGCUCGUAGGUGGUUUGUCGCGUUGUCCGUGAAAACUCACAACUCAAUUGUGGGCGUGCGGGCGAUACGGGCAGACUGGAGUACUGCAGGGGAGACUGGAAUUCCUGGUGUAGCGGUGGAAUGCGCAGAUAUCAGGAGGAACACCGGUGGCGAAGGCGGGUCUCUGGGCAGUAACUGACGCUGAGGAGCGAAAGCGUGGGGAGCGGACAGG
rnacentral:rRNA from 1 species